UUCGUAUGCUUUGGCCAAAGACUCCCGAAUCAUAUCUUAGAGUAUUCUCCUUCCACCAUGGAAGGUUAGAGAUUCCUUGUUAUGCAUUCAUAUGCCUACAUGACUAGAUAGCUUGACCCCAAUAAUGCCGUGAACACUCUCGAUGGAAUGCCUUUUGAUGCGAAAUAUAUAAGCACACAAAUUAAACCCUCUUUUUAUCAAUUGUAGUAAAGU
rnacentral:lncRNA from 1 species